rnacentral:rRNA from 1 species
AUUGAACGCUGGCGGCAGGCCUAACACAUGCAAGUCGAACGAGUGGCGGACGGGUGAGUAAUGUCUGGGAAACUGCCCGAUGGAGGGGGAUAACUACUGGAAACGGUAGCUAAUACCGCAUACCAUCGGAUGUGCCCAGAUGGGAUUAGCUAGUAGGUGGGGUAACGGCUCACCUAGGCGACGAUCCCUAGCUGGUCUGAGAGGAUGACCGGCCACACUGGAACUGAGACACGGUACAGACUCCUGCGGGAGGCAGCAGUGGAGUAUAGUGCACAAUGGGCGAAAGCGUGAUGCAGCCAUGCCGCGUGUAUGAAGAAGGCCUUGGGGUUGUAAAGUACUUUCAGCGGGGAGGCGUUACCCGCAGAAGAAGCACCGGCUAACUCCGUGCCAGCAGGCGCUAAUAC